CUCCAAUAGCGUAUAUUAAAGCUGUUGCGGUUAAAAAGCUCGUAGUUGGAUUUCUGUCAAGUACAACUGGUCCGCCUCUGGGUGAGCACAUAGUUUGGUCUUGGCAUCUUGCUGGAACUGUUGCUGCACUUGGCUGUGUGGCGCAGUGUCCAGCACUUUCACUUGAGGAAUUGGAGUGUUUCAAGCAGGCAAUGCCUUUG
rnacentral:rRNA from 1 species